rnacentral:rRNA from 1 species
GACGAACGCUGGCGUCGUGCUUAUCCCAUGCAAGUCGAACGGAAAGGCUCUGCUUUUGUGGGGUGCUCGAGUGGCGAACGGGUGAGUAACACUUGAUUAACCUGCCCUUGACUUUGGGAUAACUUCAGGAAACUGGGGCUAAUACCGGAUAGGAGCUCCUGCUGCCUGGUGGGGUUUGUAAAGUUUCGGCGGUUGGGGAUGGACUCGCGGCUUAUCAGCUUGUUGGUGGGGUAGUGGCUUACCAAGGCUUUUACGGGUAGCCGGCCUGAGAGGGUGACCGGGCACAUUGGGACUGAGAUAAGGACCAGAGUAGUAAGGGAGGAAGAAGUAGGGAAUAUAGCACAAGGGGCGAAAGCCGGAGGAAGAAAAACGGGGUGCGGGAUAAAGGAAGUAGGGUUGUAAACAGAGUGCGCCUGUGACGAAGGGUGAGUGACGAGAAUAGGUAAAGAAGCAUGGGGAAACUACGUG